rnacentral:rRNA from 1 species
GACGAACGCUGGCGGCGUGCUUAACACAUGCAAGUCGAACGGAAAGGCCCUGCUUGCAGGGUACUCGAGUGGCGAACGGGUGAGUAACACGUGGGUGAUCUGCCCUGCACUUCGGGAUACGCCUGGGAAACUGGGUCUAAUACCGGAUAGGAGCCAUUUUUAGUGUGAUGGUUGGAAAGUUUUUUCGGUGUAGGAUGAGCUCGCGGCCUAUCAGCUUGUUGGUGGGGUAAUGGCCUACCAAGGCGGCGACGGGUAGCCGGCCUGAGAGGGUGGACGGGCACAUUGGGACUGAGCUACGGCCCAGACUCCUACGGGAGGCAGCAGUGGGGAAUAUUGCACAAUGGGCGCAAGCCUGAUGCAGCGACGCCGCGUGGGGGAUGACGGCCUUCGGGUUGUAAACGCCUUGCGCUAGGGACGAAGCGUUUUGUGACGGUACCUAGAUAAGAAGCACCGGCUAACUACGUG